UUUCCGUAGGUGAACCUGCGGAAGGAUCAUUAAAGUUAUAGUCCCCUGGCCCUCUGGGCUGGGGUCUUCUAUACCACCCUUUGUUUAUUACACCUUUGUUGCUUUGGCAGGCCUGCCCUCGGGCUGCUGGCUCCGGCCGGCUCGCGCCUGCCAGAGGACCUAAACUCUGUUUGUAUAUGAAGUCUGAGUACUAUAUAAUAGUUAAAACUUUCAACAACGGAUCUCUUGGUUCUG
rnacentral:misc_RNA from 1 species